GCCGGGCGUGGUGGCGCAUGCCUGUAAUCCCAGCUACUCAGGAGGCAGAGGCAGGAGAAUCACUUGAACCCGGGAGGCAGAGGUUGUAGUGAGUCGAGAUUGUCCCACUCCACUCCAGCCCGGGCAACAGAGUGAGACUCUGUCUCAA
ensembl:misc_RNA Metazoa_SRP Metazoan signal recognition particle RNA